rnacentral:rRNA from 1 species
UUAGGUUUGGGUGGCGGACGGGUGAGUAACGCGUAAAGAACUUGCCUCACAGCUAGGGACAACAUUUGGAAACGAAUGCUAAUACCUAAUAUUAUGAUAAUAGGGCAUCCUAUAAUUAUGAAAGCUAUAAGCGCUGUGAGAGAGCUUUGCGUCCCAUUAGCUAGUUGGAGAGGUAACGGCUCGCCAAGGCGAUGAUGGGUAGCCGGCCUGAGAGGGUGAUCGGCCACAAGGGGACUGAGACACGGCCCUUACUCCUACGGGAGGCAGCAGUGGGGAAUAUUGGACAAUGGACCAAGAGUCUGAUCCAGCAAUUCUGUGUGCACGAUGAAGUUUUUCGGAAUGUAAAGUGCUUUCAGUUGGGAAGAAAAAAAUGACGGUACCAACAGAAGAAGUGACGGCUAAAUACGUGCCAGCAGCCGCGGUAAUACGUAUGUCACGAGCGUUAUCCGGAUUUAUUGGGCGUAAAGCGCGUCUAGGUGGUUAUAUAAGUCUGAUGUGAAAAUGCAGGGCUCAACUCUGUAUUGCGUUGGAAACUGUAUAACUAGAGUACUGGAGAGGUAAGCGGAACUACAAGUGUAGAGGUGAAACUUCGUAGAUAUUUGUAGGAAUGCCGAUGGGGAAGCCA